GGCCCAAAUUCCUACGGGAGGCUGCAGUAGGGAUCUUCCACAAUGGGCGAAAGCCUGAUGGAGCAACGCCGCGUGUGUGAUGAAGGCUUUCGGGUCGUAAAGCACUGUUGUAUGGGAAGAAAAGUUAAGGUAGGGAAUGACCUUAGCCUGACGGUACCAUACCAGAAAGGGACGGCUAAAUACGUGCCAGCAGCCGCGGUAAUACGUAUGUCCCGAGCGUUAUCCGGAUUUAUUGGGCGUAAAGCGAGCGCAGACGGUUGGUUAAGUCUGAUGUGAAAGCCCGGAGCUCAACUCCGGAAAGGCAUUGGAAACUGGUUAACUUGAGUGCAGUAGAGGUAAGUGGAACUCCAUGUGUAGCGGUGGAAUGCGUAGAUAUAUGGAAGAACACCAGCGGCGAAGGCGGCUUACUGGACUGUAACUGACGUUGAGGCUCGAAAGUGUGGGUAGCAAACAGGAUUAGAUACCCUGGUAGUCCACACCGUAAACGAUGAACACUAGGUGUUAGGAGGUUUCCGCCUCUUAGUGCCGAAGCUAACGCAUUAAGUGUUCCGCCUGGGGAGUACGACCGCAAGGUUGAAACUCAAAGGAAUUGACGGGGACCCGCACAAGCGGUGGAGCAUGUGGUUUAAUUCGAAGCAACGCGAAGAACCUUACCAGGUCUUGACAUCCUUUGAAGCUUUUAGAAAUAGAAGUGUUCUCUUCGGAGACAAAGUGACAGGUGGUGCAUGGUCGUCGUCAGCUCGUGUCGUGAGAUGUUGGGUUAAGUCCCGCAACGAGCGCAACCCUUAUUGUUAGUUGCCAGCAUUCAGAUGGGCACUCUAGCGAGACUGCCGGUGACAAACCGGAGGAAGGCGGGGACGACGUCAGAUCAUCAUGCCCCUUAUGACCUGGGCUACACACGUGCUACAAUGGCGUAUACAACGAGUUGCCAACCUGCGAAGGUGAGCUAAUCUCUUAAAGUACGUCUCAGUUCGGACUGCAGUCUGCAACUCGACUGCACGAAGUCGGAAUCGCUAGUAAUCGCGGAUCAGCACGCCGCGGUGAAUACGUUCCCGGGUCUUGUACACACCGCCCGUCACACCAUGGAAGUUUGUAAUGCCCAAAGCCGGUGGCCUAACCGUAAGGAGGGAACCGUCUAAGGCAG
rnacentral:rRNA from 1 species